GACGAGACCAUCUCUUAGUAUCAGCAGUCCAGCUGAGCAUUAGCCUGGCCUCAGUAAAUUAGUAUUUAUGCUUGGUUUAGCAAAGGGUAAACGUAUGAUAUUUGCGUGCCUGCGCUGGUCUGAUUUUCUGUUUCACACCUAGCUCUUUAACUCAUCGGGGUUGCUGGGCCCCCUCCCUCUGGCCUUGGACAGAGCUCUUCAGAGUCAGGUAAACAGCAAUAAUCCCUCCUCACGUCCUGGGCAGAAGUAAUUUUAAUUAUGAGGCUAGCUUAGCUUUUGAAUAAUUUCUUUUCCAACUUGUUAAGCGGUAUCGCAUGGUUUCAGUGCACUGAAUUGGGCAAUUGAGAGAGCUGAGCUUGCUUUCUCCAAAUUCUGGAAACUCGGUUGCCAGCUGUGCCAUUUUGGGCAUUUUUAUUUAACUUCUCUGACCUUCAAUUUUGCCAUCCAUAACAUGGGGAUAGCGUCACUUACUUUACAGGGUUGUUAUGAAUAUUUAGUAAGUUUAUACAUGUAAAUACUGCCUUUCAUUUGGCUCCACCCCUGAAGCAGGCCUGAGAGAGACUCUGAGAGCAGGUUGUAUAUCUGGGAGGCAAACUCAGGCAGAAACUGUGGGGGGAUGAGAUAAGGAAGGGAGAGAAGCCCAUAGGGGUGUGUUAAUGAGCCAGUUACCGCGUGGGAAACUUGGGCUCAAUCCCACCCGCGAGAAACCGAGCGGAACCUGCCGGCGAAUCACGGCCCCAGAGGCUGGGAAUCUGGCUCCAGCCUGCACGGGCUGAAGCUGCCUCUGGGGGUGUUAUUCCCCCAAACACACCCACCUCAGCAAUUCUGGGUCCCUUGUGUCCUGUGGUGCUGGAGGAAGCCCGCAGGCACAGAAGAAAGACGGAGGCGGGUGCUCGAGGUGGGAAGCUGUCAGCAGGCCAGGAACAGUCCGCAGCGACAGGACCCAGAACCCAAUAAAAGAACAGUAAAAAUCCUUCAAGCAAAAAAGUGGUCUUGGUUAUCACAGAGCCCCAGAUUUUUCUGGUCACAGUGAAGAAGAGACCUGAAAUUGCCAGGAACCUCCCAAUGAGACCACCCCUCUCUGGUGAGAUGGUGAGGCAUUUUGGCUAUCUCCUCUAAGCAGACACCGUACUUUCCAGGUGCUGGCCUCGGUCCUUCUUUCACUGGACCCAUCCUGGAUCUCAUGGUGUUCUAGGCUCAGCCUGACUCCAGGCUCCCUCUCCUACAAGUCUAGACUUCCAGGCUGAUGGCCUGGGGCAUCCUCUCCACACACAGGAGCUCCAAAUACCACAGAUCUGGGCCAGCUCAUUAUCCUUCAUCUCUGCUUCUUUAGGUCACAGGAGUAAAUGCCUCAGGAAUAAGGAGGACCACGCAUGCCAAGGCAGCCCCUGAACCCUUACUCUACACCUGCCCUGAAGAGAAUCCCCGUUGUUGCUCCUAUUGGCCUGAGGACCCACCGGGACCUCAUGUGCAUUGGAGACAGGCAGCACCUAGGGAGGAGAGGUUGAGGGCAACUGUCGUGCUUGGCGUCAGUAAGAUGCCCAAGCGUGGCUCCAAGAGCCUGUCUGCCUUUUGCUGAUGGGCUGACAACAUGUGUCCAAAGGUCACAGUGUAGUUGCACAGGAGACAGGAUCUAAGUCCCCUUCCACCUGUGAUCGUGUCCCCUCAUUGGCUUUCCAACAUCUGCUGGCGCGUUCCUAAUGCUUAGAAGGCAUUUAAUAAACCACAUCCAUUAUUACCAUCUGUGCCACUUUGGAUAAAUUAUGUUCCCCCAAAAGCCAUAUUUUUUAAUGCAAUUUUGUGGGGGCAGAGUUGUUAAUCUUUUUGAUUAGGGUAUGACGUCUUGAUUGAAUGUUUCCAUGGAGAUU